GAUGUGUGCAGCAAACACCUGAUGCCGUCCACAGGUCGCUCCAGCAGCACAGCUGGCCAGCGGGGGGUCUGGCAGGUCGAACCUGUGCAGAGUGUGGAGCCUCUAGCCAGAGCACCACGAGGACAAUGUCUUCAAGCAAAGAGGACUGGCCAGUGGGCACUCCUUACCACAUCACAGUGAUAGUAGAGAUCAGUUUGUCUGGUUUGCUUAUGAGUGGUUCUGUUUUCUUGUGUGUGCUUAGCUCUGGGGGUUGUAUUAUAAGCAGUGAAGAGAGUCCUCUUAGAGGUAGCUGAGAACUGUGCUCAACCUAAAUGUAAACACGUUCCUGCUGACUCAUCAGAGGGUGUGGGUGGCAGCUGUGUGACAUCAGCCACUUGGCUGUGGAUUACUGACAGGGAGAGCAUAUGGGAAUAUUUGAAACCUCAAGCCUUCAUAAAAGAACCUUCUUUGCGGAUUCCUCCUUCAACCCAGAAUGGACUAGAUUCCUCCUCUCUUGGGGUUCGUAUGAUGCCUUUUAAUUAUUUCUAGCAGCACUGAAAUAAUAAUCUUGUGUGUUUGUGUGCCCAUCUCUGUGUUGCUUUCUUGAAGAUAGGAAAUUUAACUUUGCUUCCUUGGUAUUUUUUAGGUCCAGUAUACAGUACCUAGUGCAUUUCUGUUGGAUAAAUAAAAGAUUAAUGAUCUAUAUUUGUGUCUUGAAUCUUUGUGUCAGGUGACAUCUCCACAGAGGCUAAGUAGCAUAUUAAUCAAGGGUCCUGGGCUAAGAAUCUUUGAAUCUUGUCCUGCCACUAUGGAUGUAGAGACUUUUGAGUUUCAGAUUAAAUGAUAUACUAUGUCUAAGAUUAGCAUAUACCAGGGGUAAUGUUAGUUAUUGUAUAUGACCACCUGCUUCCUUAACAUUCUGCUCUGAGAUAUCUCAUAGGAAUCUGACAUUUAUAUGUGAAACCAUGAUUAGUGUAACUAGUUGAUUCACUCAGACUCAUUGAAAUGAAUAGAAUUUCUAGGUCUUCACAUUGGUAACAAUAUUAGAGAGACUGUUUGCCUGUACAUCCCAGAAGCAGAGGUUUGAUUGGCCUUUUAAAUUGUACUGAUCUGGUAGGAAAGCUGAGGUGUGAUCUAUUUGUAUCCCUUCCUGUGUUGCCGAUGAUGCUAUAAUUGAAAUGGUUUUUAUAUGUAUAUAUGAGGUGCAAAUUCUUCAGCUACUGCAGUCCCAUGUUGUGUUGUAGUCAUUGGCUCCAACCUCCAUUUCUUCACAGUACAGGCUCCUGAAGGGCUCGUUUGCAGUUUAUCAGUGCCUCACCCACCUCUAGUGGAUGCAGAUUGACUCCCAGAAGGCUUGGAUUUUAUAUUUGAAUUAAUAUUAUUCCCCCAGGAUUUUUUUUUUUGGGCUGUUGGUGGUGGAGUAGGAGAACCAGGCUCCUAUUUAUAUCAGACAUUUUCACAGAUCAUUAACUUUUAGAGGCAGUUCCCUUGGGUACAAAAACAAGUUGAAAUAUUCCAGGAUAUGUUUUAAUUCAGUUGCUCCUGUACAUAACAGAAUUAUCUCAAGUUUGAAAGACACUGUUGUUUACCUGCCUCUGUCAUUGUGUGGAUGAAAAAGGACAUACCCUUUCAGAAUCAUGACUCUGGUUCACAGGACAGGUGGGAGGUGCCUUAUUCUCAGUCUUUGGCUGCAAUGAUAUGACUCUUGAUAUCUUUUUUUACUUGGCCUAAUCACUUAGAACUUUCUAGAGAGUUUAGAGUCUUAUGACUCUCAACACAAUCAAAGAUAUAUUAACUGGUAUCACUUGGAAAGCUUGCCUCUAAUGAUUUUUUUUGGGUGAUUAGCAAGUGGUAACUUAUAAAUUCUAGAGAAAGCAGGAAACUUGAUUGUAAAAAAAA